UUUUCGCAAUAGCUUCCUUUCUUUUGUGCCUUACUAACUGGAAAUCUGUGCUUUCUUAAAACUAAAACAAACCAGAAGUCUGGUUGGCAUGAGACAUGUGCAAGGCUGCUGAUAGUUCAGGAAAUCGCUGUAAAUUUGGAAGUCACUAACCACCCGUCGUUUUGGGUCUUCCGUCUGUGAAAUGGGGAGGUGGUCAUCUGCACGCCAAGGGCCUUUUGUGAGGAUUCAUAAGGCUGUGUGUCAAAGUCUUGACGGGUUGGUUGAAGAAAUGUUAGGGUUUAGAAACACUUGUUCGUCAUUACUUACGAUUGCGGCCACCUCAUCAUCCUUUGGACAAGAGCGAUGGCUGGGGGACCGCCAUAUUGUUUUCUCCACCCAAGGGAAUUAAAAUCGAAACACAGGGCAACUGAUUCCUUUUCUGGUACAAUCCCGUACCAACAGGUAGUUGAGAGGGUUCUUGGAUGGGAUAUAAAAUUUAUAGGUGACUGUAGACAGUGCCUCACUUACUGACAUAGGGAUUGGAAUUGCACUGUUGGGUGUUUUGGGACCAUAUAUGCAAGAGUCCCUGAAUUACAUAGGAUUUGCUGUGGCAUCAGUAACUUCUGUUUUGAACGUAGUUCACGUUCAUGCGUCUCUGGGUCACUCUGCCCAGGUCACUUGCUUUCCCUCUUGCAAGAAUAAUGACGGGUAGGCUCUGAUGUGGUUUCAAGGGUCCCAUGGACUGUGGAUGCUACUCCUCCUUGGAGGAGCCUCAUGAUGUCUGAACUCCCGACCUACUGGUGGCUUCAAUUCCAUAUUCAUUCUUAGCUGUUGCCUUCCAUCUUCAAGGACCACUGCCUAAGGACUCUGGGAAACUUCACAAAAGAUGUCAUUAGAUGGUGACACACAGUUAGACUAUAGGGUGGGAGUCUACCCUUAAUCUCCCAUCAUUCCAGAUUUUUAGAUUCACAAACUCAAUUUAUAUAUAGCCUGAAAUUGAAAGUCCCCAACAGCACCCUUACUGUCUUCUUGCAGUGAAGGCUAAGAGUGCCUGAUUAUGUCUAUUUACCACAUAUGACUGGGUGACUUCCAUCAGGGGUGCUCAGGUCACUGUGCCUGGUUGCCUGAAUGUUGAAUGUCCAGGAUGCCCAAAUGGACAGGUGACCAAGGUCAAAGAUGUGCCCAAGUGAACUGCUGGUCAAGGUCAAGGACGUGCCCAAGUGGACCGCUGGCCAAGGUUAAGGAUGUGCCCAAAUGGAAGGAUGGCCAAGGUCAAGAAAAUGCUCUUGGAAGACAUGCAACGAGGAACGAGAGAGGGGAAACCAAUGAAAACACCUGUUGCUUCUCCUAGAAAUAGCAGAGAGGCUAAAUAGUUGGGGAUUCAGGAGAAGUGCAUCUCUGUUUCUGUUUCAACUUCAUUUCUGUCACACUGUAUGAAGACGCUCAGCUCAGAGUGUGACGCUCAGCCAGGAGAGGAGGAAGGCACCCUGCUAGGGAAGAAUGCACAGGAAGUGCAGGCACAACGAUUUCCUGAAAAUCUGUAGGUGAUCUUCAAAUCCAAACUGGGUUUCCAAAUCCCGUCAGAUUCUGGUGUCACAAAGCAUUCUGUCACCUUGUCUUAGCAAGGGACGUGUCCUCCCUUGGAUGCUGUGGUGCUAUUUGACAUCCAUAUGCCAAAGCACAGGGACUUGGGCAAGUACUCAGGAGUCCUCAUGGAGAUGACGUUGUCCAAUAUUUGGAAUGGGAUCAGGACCUUGGAAAAGUAACUGUUCUCCAUUCUCUCCACACCUCAUUCCUGGGUCUUGGAACAUUCUGGUCAUUGCAUGGCAUGAAAAUCAAAAUAUCCCCAGGUAGGAAUAGUUGAAUUUACAAUUUUCAAAAAUAAAAGCUGCCUUUCCUGAAGAAUGGGCUGAGGGCAGUCCGUGACUCAACGUAUGGGAGCGAGGACCUAGCUAAAUUCAUUUCCCCAGAAUGUCAUCCAGUCUUCCACUCUGCAUGAGCCAAAUUAGCAUUGUGGGUGACUUUACAAUCUUUACUUGUUUUGUGGUUUUUAUGGGGUUCAUGAUCUUAGCUGAUGUAGAUGUACAAAGAAAAAGUAAAAAAAAAAAAGAGCAAA